GAUCCUGGCUUAGGAUGAACGCUAGCGGCAGGCCUAAUACAUGCAAGUCGUACGGUAAAGUCCCCUUCGGGGGAUUGAGAGUGGCGGACGGGUGCGUAACGCGUAUGCAACCCACCCCCGACGGGCGGAUAGCCGGUGGAAACGCCGGAUAACCCGCCAUGCGGCCCCACAGGGGCAUCCCUGUGGAGUCAAAGCGGCGACGCGGUCGGGGACGGGCAUGCGUCCCAUUAGAUGGUUGGCGGUGCAAUGGACCACCAAGUCUACGAUGGGUAGGGGAUCUGAGAGGACGGUCCCCCACACUGGUACUGAGACACGGACCAGACUCCUGCGGGAGGCAGCAGUAAGGGAUAUUGGGCAAUGGGGGCAACCCUGACCCAGCCAUGCCGCGUGAGGGAAUGAGGCCCUACGGGUCGUGAACCUCUUUUGUCCGGGGACAAGGACAGUGUCGCGAACACUGUUUGAGGGUACCGAAAGAAUAAGCGUCGGCUAACUCCGUGCCAGCCGCGGC
rnacentral:rRNA from 1 species